UUGCUCUCUGUGCCAUACUCCACUCGCUUCAGCCACUGGAUGACAGGUUUGACAUCACUGCGGACUUUGCACUGGAAGGAUGUGGUUCCGCCGUAGUCUACCGUUGUGUUGACAGGGUGUGUCCCUGUCAGGAUGGGCUUGGAUCUCGUUCUCUGGAUCACUUCAACUUUGUAAGUCGCAUUGAUUUCCCCAACUUUGUUAAACACUCGGCAGGUGUAUUUCCC
rnacentral:lncRNA from 1 species